AUAAGAGAUUGGACUGCAUUCAUUUCCACUGGUGAAUCAUUACAACAAUUGAAGUUGCGAGAGUGGGUUGCAACUUUUGCUGGUGCUCUGGCAUACUGUCACAAGAAGCAGUACUGUCAAAAGAAGCAGGUAAUUCACAUGGAUAUCAAGCCAGAAAGUUUGUCUACUGAUUUCGAG